rnacentral:rRNA from 1 species
AGAAUCAACGCUGGCGGCGUGCCUCAGACAUGCAAGUCGAACGCGAAAGUUUCCUUCGGGAGGCGAGUAGAGUGGCGCACGGGUGAGUAACACGUAGGUAAUCUACCUUUGGGUGGGGAAUAACAGCCGGAAACGGCUGCUAAUACCGCAUAAUGCAGCGGCUCGACAUCGAGACAGUUGUUAAAGCGGGGGAUUCGUAAGAACCUCGCGCCUAAAGAGGAGCCUGCGGCGGAUUAGCUAGUUGGUAAGGUAAUGGCUUACCAAGGCAUCGAUCCGUA